ACUCCUACGGGAGGCAGCAGUGGGGAAUAUUGGACAAUGGGGGGAACCCUGAUCCAGCCAUGCCGCGUGUGUGAAGAAGGCCUUUUGGUUGUAAAGCACUUUAAGCGAGGAGGAGGCUUACCGUGUUAAUUAACCCGGGGNUAAUUGGGACGUUACUCGCAGAAUAAGCACCGGCUAACUCUGUGCCAGCAGCCGCGGUAAUACAGAGGGUGCAAGCGUUAAUCGGAUUUACUGGGCGUAAAGCGCGCGUAGGUGGCUAAUUAAGUCAAAUGUGAAAUCCCCGAGCUUAACUUGGGAAUUGCAUUCGAUACUGGUUAGCUAGAGUAUGGGAGAGGAUGGUGANAAUUCCAGGUGUAGCGGUGAAAUGCGUAGAGAUCUGGAGGAAUACCGAUGGCGAAGGCAGCCAUCUCGGC
rnacentral:rRNA from 1 species